CUACCAGGUUAAACAUUCAACACACCUGCUGUAAGGUAGGAGGUAGACUACCAGGUUAAACAUUCAACACACCUGCUGUAAGGUAGGAAGUAGUCUACCAGGUUAAACAUUCAACACACCUGCUGUAAGGUAGGAGGUAGACUACCAGGAUAAAUAUUUCAACACACCUGCUGUAAGGUAGGAGGUAGUCUACCAGGAUAAACAUUCACCUGCUGUAAGGUAGGAAGUAGACUACCAGGUUAAACAUUCACCUGCUGUAAGGUAGGAGGUAGUCUACCAGGAUAAACAUUCACCUGCUGUAAGGUAGGAAGUAGACUACCAGGUUAAACAUUC
ensembl:lncRNA